UACGUAGGGGCAAGCGUUGUCCGGAAUCAUUGGGCGUAAAGAGCGCGUAGGCGGCCCUGUAAGUCCGCUGUGAAAGUCAAGGGCUCAACCCUUGAAUGCCGGUGGAUACUGCAGGGCUAGAGUCCGGAAGAGGCGAGUGGAAUUCCUGGUGUAGCGGUGAAAUGCGCAGAUAUCAGGAGGAACACCGAUGGCGAAGGCAGCUCGCUGGGACGGUACUGACGCUGAGGCGCGAAAGCGUGGGAGCAAACAGG
rnacentral:rRNA from 1 species